GUAGAAGCAUGUUAAUCAAGAAAAUCAAUUUAGUACGUUUGGGUUGAAAAUGGGUAUUGUACUAUUCGUCGCCCCACAUGUAUAUAUACGACAUUGUUUUAUGUAACGAAGAGGUUAGUUUUUUUUUCUUGUUUUUAUAUAUUUAUUUUUUUCAUUCUUCCAUAUUUUUCUUUCUCUUUCACUCCAACUUUUCUCAAUCGUCAUUGACAUGUUUCUCUUGUCUAAUUAUCUAGACGUCAUCAAACCUUUCUUGGCACCAAUCCCUUAAAUCUCUUCAAUAAAGUAAUAUCCGUCCAAACAGGG
rnacentral:lncRNA from 1 species